AUUGAACGCUGGCGGAAUGCUUUACACAUGCAAGUCGAACGGCAGCACGGGGGCAACCCUGGUGGCGAGUGGCGAACGGGUGAGUAAUACAUCGGAACGUGCCCAGUCGUGGGGGAUAACGUAGCGAAAGCUACGCUAAUACCGCAUACGAUCUACGGAUGAAAGCGGGGGAUCGCAAGACCUCGCGCGAUUGGAGCGGCCGAUGGCAGAUUAGGUAGUUGGUGGGGUAAAGGCUCACCAAGCCGACGAUCUGUAGCUGGUCUGAGAGGACGACCAGCCACACUGGGACUGAGACACGGCCCAGACUCCUACGGGAGGCAGCAGUGGGGAAUUUUGGACAAUGGGCGCAAGCCUGAUCCAGCCAUUCCGCGUGCAGGAUGAAGGCCUUCGGGUUGGUAAAC
rnacentral:rRNA from 1 species